rnacentral:lncRNA from 1 species
UAUGCCAGCAGGAUAAGCUUUCCCACCGACAUAGUGCUGUCUACACCGGCACUUAGGUCAGUAUAACUUACUUCAGACCCCUGAGUGACAUAAGUUAUACCACUAUAACCCGUAGUGUAGACAAGCCUUCAGUGAAAGGUUUAGACUUGUCUCUGAAUUUGGAAGGCACGGCACCAUUAUGUUAAGAGGAGUCACUAGCUGCAUCUGGGGCUGCAGGGCAGGGCUGGGGGCUUUAGCAGAGCUGGGAGGAAGGCCAGGCCUGGAAUAGGAGGCAGUUCUGUGGGUCAGGCUUGAUGUGAAACCUCUGUACGUGCCUUCACCCUCUUCUGAUUCUCUUCUCGCUGUCACCUGCAUUUCCACAAGGGGUGUCUACUUAAAUCUUUAAGGUUUUGACACGAUUCCACAAGAUGUCCCCCUUCCCUUUUUGAAAGAGGGUAUUUAUAACCAGAAACAUUCAAGAAACCGCAGUUCCAUUCCUUGUCCCAGGCUCUUGCUAGCUGAGGGCUGGGCGUGCUGCAGUGGUUUGAUCCAGCACUCUCUGAAGCUGGUAUUCUGCUUUGCUGUGCAGGACAUCCAGGUUCCAUUCCCUGUCCUGGUCUCUUACUCCCAAGAAGCUGGAUCUCCCACCUCGGGCUGCAAAUGUUUCAACACUCCCCAUAUCAUCUCUGUUCCAGAGGCUAGCGAAGAUUAGAAGGUGAAAAAAAAUGCACUCACGAUGACAUGUUCUCUGAACUCAUGCAGUCCUCCCUCACUGAAAGAGCCCAGCAGAAUGCCUGGAGGCUGACACUGUCAGAGUGCAGGAAAGCACAAAAUGAACAUGAGGACAGGAGGGACCAGCGAGAGGAGAUGUGGCGUUAGCAUGAUGAAAGUAGGCAUGAAGCAAUGCUCAAGGCUACUCUAGGAUCAAACUCUCAUUCUCCGGCGUAUUGUUAAGCAGGAAAGGCAGCAGGAGGAACACAGACAGCCGCUGCAGCCCCUGUGUGACCAACUGCUUUCCUCCCCAAGUUCCAUACCGU